UGUGUGUGUGUGUGUGUGUGUGUGUGUGUGUGUGUGUGUGGGUGCGCGUCGUGCACGCGCAUGCACACACACACACAGAGCACACAC
rnacentral:miRNA from 1 species